rnacentral:tmRNA from 1 species
CCUCUCGAUUUCCGCGCGAGGAUCGCCUAUAUCCCGCUUGCUCACCUUCGGGUGGCUAUGGCGAUAAACGGUAUUUGGAAUAAGCAUUGCGGACCCGGGGGCAGUGCCCGGCGUCUCCACCAAUUCACCCGCCAGGGAUCGUAUGGCGGUGGCAUGGGGACGACACAGCUUCGACGCGUGCGGUAAAGACUUACCUUUUGCCCGGCAUUGUACCGCCGUUAUCGGGCUAUAUCACAAGUGCCAACGAUAACAGCCGCGAGGCUGUGGCGCUCGCUGCCUAACAAUAGGUAAGCGCCGCCCGGGGGGAGCGGGGCAACAGAAUCCCCCCACU